rnacentral:misc_RNA from 1 species
UCCCGAUUGGCUCGGGCAGUCUCGUCUGAAAAGUACAACAGACGACAAGGGUUGCGCUCGUUGCGGGACUUAACCCAACAUCUCACGACACGAGCUGACGACGGCCAUGCAACACCUGUCAUAGCGGCCCGAAGGCACUCUCCCGUUUCUGGGAGAUUAGCUAUGAUGUCAAACCUCGGUAAGGUUCUUCGCGUAUCAUCGAAUUAAACCACAUGCUCCACCGCUUGUGCGGGUCCCCGUCAAUUCCUUUGAGUUUUAGCCUUGCGGCCGUACUCCCCAGGCGGGAUGCUUAACGCGUUAGCUUCACAACACAGAGGGUCGAUACUCCAUACUAUUAGCAUCCAUCGUUUACGGCGUGGACUAC